GAAGUUGGAAUCGCUAGUAAUCGCGGAUCAGCAUGCCGCGGUGAAUACGUUCCCGGGCCUUGUACACACCGCCCGUCACACCAUGAGAGUCGGGAACACCCGAAGUCCGUAGCCUGACCGCAAGGGGGCGCGGCCGAAGGUGGGUUCGAUAAUUGGGGUGAAGUCGUAACAAGGUAAC
rnacentral:rRNA from 1 species